AAAAUUAAAACUACGUAUCAAUGUGUAUUACAUAAAAUAGGUUACAUUUAUUUGUACUUGAGUUCAAUAUUGCGAUAGUAGAAAAUGUUGCUUAUCGGUAAUUUUUAGUCAGGCACAUUCAGGGCACCUGACACACUUCAGUUUGCAACAUGGCUUCGUGAGGAAGGACCCGUAGAAGCAACAAUGGCCCUCUCAUAAAGCCACCUUCUUCCACUCUUUCUACCCAGAUAAUAGUUAUCCUAAAUUAGCUUUUUCCAAUGAAGUGUUCUCCGUAAAAUGAAUACCGACUAAAGGGGCAAGGCGAGAAGGCAGUCCACGGGCAGGCAAGCGGUCAGGGUCUGGAGAGAAGCAACAAGGUCCGUGUCCAAGCAGGAGUCAAGGAUGGAGGGAGGCAGUCCGGAAUCCAGAGGGGAGUAGAGGCACACAGCAUCAAGCGGUGAGAGGUGCGCUGGUGGAUGGAGCGAAAACGGCAUGAUGGGAGGAGCUCACAGGCCUCCAAACUUGCAGCUCGAGACCAUCAUCACUUUGGAAAUGACAGUGGAGGUGAUACCGUGCUGUUAUGGGGCCGCAGGGUGGGCCGUGAGCGAGGCCCGUCUUCAGCCAGGAUGGAUGGGCUUCUCUCUGCGGACUAAAUUAAUACUGGGAUUGCUUUUGGAGCUCCUAAGGAGCUAAUCAGACGCAAGUUAUCUGAAAAGCCUGAGGGCUAGGCUGGCAAGAAGCAGGUGCUUCACGAAAACUCUCAGCGCAACGUUGCCAAGUCGGACACAGCGGUGCAGUUAGUCAUCGACGAAACCCUUGGAAGGUACUGUUUUUCUAAACCGUUGUAAAUAAAGCCGA